rnacentral:rRNA from 1 species
GACGAACGCUGGCGGCGUGCCUAAUACAUGCAAGUUGAGCGCUGAAGGUUGGUACUUGUACCAACUGGAUGAGCAGCGAACGGGUGAGUAACGCGUGGGGAAUCUGCCUUUGAGCGGGGGACAACAUUUGGAAACGAAUGCUAAUACCGCAUAAAAACUUUAAACACAAGUUUUAAGUUUGAAAGAUGCAAUUGCAUCACUCAAAGAUGAUCCCGCGUUGUAUUAGCUAGUUGGUGAGGUAAAGGCUCACCAAGGCGAUGAUACAUAGCCGACCUGAGAGGGUGAUCGGCCACAUUGGGGACUGAGACACGGGCCCCAAAACUCCCUACGGGGAGGGCAGCAGUAGGGAAUCUUUCGGGCAAAUGGGACGAAAAGUUCUGACCCGAGCAAACGCCCGCGUGA